GACAGAGGGUGCAAACGUUGCUCGGAAUUACUGGGCGUAAAGCGCGUGUAGGUGGAUUGGUGUGUCAGAUGUGAAAGCCCUGGGCUCAACCCAGGAACUGCACCUGAAACUACCAGUCUUGAGUGGUGGAGAGGGAAGUGGAAUUCCUGGUGUAGAGGUGAAAUUCGUAGAUAUUCGGAGGAACACCAGAAGCGAAGGCGGCUCACUGGCCCGAGACUGACGCUGAGGCGCGAAAGCGUGGGGAGCAAACAGGG
rnacentral:rRNA from 1 species